UACGGAGGGUGCAAGCGUUGUCCGGAUUUAUUGGGUUUAAAGGGUGCGCAGGCGGCCCGUUAAGUCAGUGGUGAAAGCCUCCAGCUCAACUGGAGAACUGCCAUUGAUACUGACGGGCUUGAGUACAGACGAGGUUGGCGGAAUUGAUUGUGUAGCGGUGAAAUGCAUAGAUACAAUCAAGAACUCCGAUUGCGUAGGCAGCUAACUAGGCUGUAACUGACGCUGAGGCACGAAAGCGUGGGGAGCGAACAGG
rnacentral:rRNA from 1 species